GUACGUUUGUCCUGGCUCAGAGCGAACGCUGGCGGCAGGCCUAACACAUGCAAGUCGAACGAACUCUUCGGAGUUAGUGGCGGACGGGUGAGUAACACGUGGGAACGUGCCUUUUGGUUCGGAAUAACUCAGGGAAACUUGUGCUAAUACCGAAUGUGCCCUUCGGGGGAAAGAUUUAUCGCCAUUAGAGCGGCCCGCGUCUGAUUAGCUAGUUGGUGAGGUAAUGGCUCACCAAGGCGACGAUCAGUAGCUGGUCUGAGAGGAUGAUCAGCCACAUUGGGACUGAGACACGGCCCAAACUCCUACGGGAGGCAGCAGUGGGGAAUCUUGCGCAAUGGGCGAAAGCCUGACGCAGCCAUGCCGCGUGAAUGAUGAAGGUCUUAGGAUUGUAAAAUUCUUUCAGUAGGGACGAUAAUGACGGUACCUACAGAAGAAGCCCCGGCCAACUUCGUG
rnacentral:rRNA from 1 species